rnacentral:rRNA from 1 species
CGCGGCCUAUCAGCUUGUUGGUGGGGUAGUGGCCUACCAAGGCGACGACGGGUAGCCGGCCUGAGAGGGUGACCGGCCACACUGGGACUGAGACACGGCCCAGACUCCUACGGGAGGCAGCAGUGGGGAAUAUUGCGCAAUGGGCGGAAGCCUGACGCAGCGACGCCGCGUGGGGGAUGACGGCCUUCGGGUUGUAAACCUCUUUCAGCAGGGACGAAGCGAGAGUGACGGUACCUGCAGGAGAAGCACCGGCCAACUACGUGCCAGCAGCCGCGGUAAUACGUAGGGUGCAAGCGUUGUCCGGAAUUAUUGGGCGUAAAGAGCUCGUAGGCGGUUUGUUGCGUCGGCUGUGAAAUCCCGAGGCUCAACCUCGGGUCUGCAGUCGAUACGAGCAAACUAGAGUGUUGCAGGGGAGACUGGAAUUCCUGGUGUAGCGGUGAAAUGCGCAGAUAUCAGGAGGAACACCGGUGGCGAAGGCGGGUCUCUGGGCAACAACUGACGCUGAGGAGCGAAAGCGUGGGGAGCGAACAGGAUUAGAUACCCUGGUAGUCCACGCCGUAAACGUUGGGCGCUAGGUGUGGGGCUCACUCCACGAGUUCCGUGCCGCAGCUAACGCAUUAAGCGCCCCGCCUGGGGAGUACGG